AAUCAACGCUGGCGGCGUGCCUCAGACAUGCAAGUCGAACGAUUAAAGCUCCCUUCGGGGAGUGCAUAGAGUGGCGCACGGGUGAGUAACACGUAAGUAAUCUACCCUCGGGUGGGGAAUAACGUUCGGAAACGGACGCUAAUACCGCAUAAUGCAGCGGCACCGCAAGGUGACAGUUGUUAAAGAUUUAUUGCCUGGGGAGGAGCUUGCGGCAGAUUAGCUUGUUGGUAAGGUAACGGCUUACCAAGGCUACGAUCUGUAUCCGGUCUAAGAGGACGGUCGGACACACUGACACUGAAUAACGGGUCAGACUCCUACGGGAGGCAGCAGUCGGGAAUUUUGGGCAAUGGGGGAAACCCUGACCCAGCAACGCCGCGUGAAGGAUGAAGUAUUUCGGUAUGUAAACUUCGAAAGAAUAGGAAGAAUUAAUGACGGUACUAUUUAUAAGGUCCGCUAACUACGUGCCAGCCGCCGCCGUAAG
rnacentral:rRNA from 1 species